UGGGGAAUCGUCUAGCGGUAGGACACGUGACUCUGAAUCACGUAGCCCAGGUUCGAAUCCUGGUUCCCCAGCCA
rnacentral:tRNA from 1 species